CGAGACUCUCUGCCCUGCACUGCAAAUAAACCAUAGACAGAAAGCAACAUAAUUUAGCUUACUCUAAGGAAAAAAUUCUAACAUGUCCAUAGCAUCAUCCCAGCAAAGCUUCCUCACCAACGCCCUCACCCCACUAAUCCAAAAGCCCAAAACGAGAUUGGCUAUCUCCACCAUCUCAUGCAGGCUGUCUAAAGAUGAUCAUAAUGAUUCUUGCAGGACAAAGAGUGAGAACGAAUUGGCAAAGCUAGCAAUUGUGACACUGGCAGCUGGGGUGCUUGCACUUGGGUCUGUCGGUGUUGCAUCAGCUGCUAAAUCUGGUGGUAGAGUUGGUGGUCAGGCUUUCAGAUCAUCUGCUCCUAGGUCAUCACCUAGAAUCAAUAGUAACUCAAGGACCAACAUAUAUGUCAACCCACCACUUGCCCCACCUUUAGUUGGUGGAUAUGGGUAUGGUGUUGGUGUGCCAUUCUAUGGCGGCUGGGGCUGGUCGCCAUUUUCGUUCUUUGCACCAGGUCCUAGUGUUGCCAUUGUUGGAGGUGGAUUCGAAACUUUAGCACUUUUUAUGUUUCUUGGUGCUGUUGCUGCUGUGAUCAAGAGAUUCCUUGGAACAAGAGACGAAGACGACUACGAGUAAUCAGAAAAGCUUUUUGAUGGUUGGAGAUGUACAAUAUUUUUAAGUGACC
rnacentral:misc_RNA from 1 species